UUUCUUCUUUUCCUUUUUUUUUUCUUCUUCCGUUCCCGAUUCACCUUCUCUUCUCUCAGCUCUUCCCUUCUUCUUCUCAUAUUCUUCUCAACCCUCCCCCUUUCUUCUCCUUUCUUCUCCACGGAGGGAGGAGGCGAGCUUGGGAGGGGCCAGGCCAUGACCGGCAGUGCCUCCAGCCGAGCCCGCUGCGCCCUCGAUCGCGUUUGCAGCCGACGCUCGCGGCCUACGCGCACGGCCGAGCCGAGGCUGGCGGCUCCCGUGACGUCCGUGGAUGCUCCCCGUGAUGCCGACGAACUCGCAGCCGCACACGGGUAAGCCCCCUCUUUCCUCUCUUCUUUCUUUCUCCUUUUCUUCUUCUUCCUCUUCUUUUCUUUUCUUUUCUUUUGAAUUGAUCUAUCCUCCCGAGUGGAUUGGGAGGAGAAAAUGCAGGAAAGGGAAAUGAGGUGGUUGGGAGGCUUACCUGGUUUCGGGGGUGAACUGUGAUGACCCUCUUCGACGGCUCUCUUCCUCUCCGGAGGCAGUGGAGUUU
rnacentral:lncRNA from 1 species